UACAGAGGUCUCAAGCGUUGUUCGGAUUCAUUGGGCGUAAAGGGUGCGUAGGUGGCGCGCUAAGUCAGGUGUGAAAUUUCGGAGCUUAACUCCGAAACUGCAUUUGAUACUGGUGUGCUUGAGGACUGGAGAGGAGACUGGAAUUCAUGGUGUAGCAGUGAAAUGCGUAGAGAUCAUGAGGAAGACCAGUGGCGAAGGCGAAUCUCUGGACAGUUACUGACACUGAGGCACGAAGGCCAGGGGAGCAAACGGG
rnacentral:rRNA from 1 species